rnacentral:rRNA from 1 species
GAAACCCAAGCUAAUACCGCAUACGCCCCAUGGGGGAAAGCGGGGGCUCUCUUCGGGGACCUCGCGCUAUCGGAUGAGCCUGCGUAGGAUUAGCUUGUUGGUGAGGUAAAGGCUCACCAAGGCGACGAUCCUUAGCUGGUCUGAGAGGAUGAUCAGCCACACUGGGACUGAGACACGGCCCAGACUCCUACGGGAGGCAGCAGUGGGGAAUAUUGCGCAAUGGGCGAAAGCCUGACGCAGCCAUGCCGCGUGUGUGAAGAAGGCCUUCGGGUUGUAAAGCACUUUCAAUUGGGAAGAAAGGUUGUUGCCUAAUACGUAACAGCUGUGACGUUACCUUUAGAAGAAGCACCGGCUAACUCCGUGCCAGCAGCCGCGGUAAUACGGAGGGUGCGAGCGUUAAUCGGAAUUACUGGGCGUAAAGCGCGCGUAGGCGGUUUGUUAAGUCGGAUGUGAAAGCCCCGGGCUCAACCUGGGAAUUGCCUUCGAUACUGGCCGACUAGAGUACGAGAGAGGGAGGUAGAAUUCCACGUGUAGCGGUGAAAUGCGUAGAUAUGUGGAGGAAUACCGGUGGCGAAGGCGGCCUCCUGGC